AUGUGGGGAGGUUCGAUACAAUACAAAACACCCAUGUUAUUUGCUGUAGGGUUCAUCUUUUUGUUCAGCAUAGGAGGGCUCACUGGAAUAGUUCUAGCAAACUCUGGGCUAGACAUUGCUCUACAUGAUACUUAUUAUGUGGUUGCAUAUUUCCAUUAUGUACUUUCUAUGGGAGCCGUUUUUGCUUUAUUUCCUGGAUUUUACUAUUGGGUGGGUAAAAUCUUUGGUCGGACAUAUCCUGAAACUUUAGGCCAAAUCCAUUUUUGGAUCACUUUUUCGGGGUUAAUCUGA
rnacentral:rRNA from 1 species